AUUUAUUACACAGCAUGGACACAUAAAUCAGGAAUUUUCAGUCAAUACAAACAUUUAUUUUGAUAUAAAAAAUAAUUGUUUCUUGUGUGGCUGACAAAGAGUUAAAAAAUCAGGAAUGCAGGCAGACUUUGAGAAUGAUGUAUCUUUGCUUACUCUUCUUGACAGGUUUCCUAUUAUUCAUGGAAAUCGGGGAAUUCUGGCAUCUUUUCAGGCCACCUGUAGAACAUCUGGCAUUCGUUUAGGAAAACGAGUUCAUUAAAGAAACUAUAAUUUAUUUGACUACUUUGGCACUCAUGGGAUACACUUGGUUGUCAAUACUCUGGGCAAAUUUGUGGGUGGGUAAUUCUAUGAGUGAGCAAACAACAGGGAAGAAACUCUUUUGGAAGAGCUUGUGCUUUGAAUCCAGCCUGGAUCAACACUGACAAGGCAGGGCUUGUCUCUUCUCCACAGUGACCACAGAUAUCCAUUCUGAGUUUAUAAUGAUUGUGAUUUUUUUUGUUUACCACAGCAUUACAUUUUUACUAAGCAGGUCACAUGUGCCAAUGCCUAAUCACCAGGCUACUAAAGAAUAAAGCAAAACAUGUAAAAGAGCCCUGGGGUCCUGAAGACCUGCCUCGAAAAUCAAUGGUGCUGUUUAACUUUCCAUCCUUAGAGACUGACAAAAUGAUUUUUGAAAAUACUAUCAGGAUCCGAUAUUUCUGUCCUGUGUAAAAAUGGGGUAGGAAGGGAAAUAGCCAACAAAAUUCCUAAUAAAGAAAGGUGAAAACAAGGUGACUUUCCCAUUGCUCUUCUAAAUUAGAUCUUUACUUAGGAAAAAUGCUUUUUUUUUUUUUUCUGCCAUGGGGAUUUAAAAAAAAAACUGCUAAUUUCAUGACAGGAAAUUUCUGAGAGUAAAAUGUAGACUACAAGAUACAUUCACUUUUUUUCAGUGUAGCUCAACAGCACAUGGGUCAGGCCCCAAAAGAAACAUAUUUUACCCACAAUGCUUUAUGAUUGACAAGGAAUUAUAGACUUCUCUUUUUCAUUUCUGAUUACAUAGAUAAAAACAAAAUUUGACCGAGAUCUUUGAUGAUAAUAUCCAACAUGUGAGAAGAUAUUUUCUAUAAUUGCCAUACAUGAACUCGAGAAUUUUGCCAGAAUUUUGAAUAAUGUACCCAAGAAUCUGUUAAAAGUUGCCUUCCUACAACUCUAAGGAAGAGAAGGUUUUCCAUAUCUGGGUUUCUAAGAACUAAAUAAUUACCUGGAAAUUUUGGUUGAAGAUAAGCGCCUUGUCUUACAAAUGAGAAGGAAAAGAGAUGUUACCUAAAUAUCUUAAAUAUAAUAUAUUAAAAAAUAGAAGCUGUGUAUACAAAAGUUUUAAGUCAAGCAGAUAUUUGACACUUCUCUUGUGAAUUUUUUGCUUUAGGCAACCUAACUGGAAAAUUUCUGAAGGAAAACAUGAAUUUUGGUGAAAAAUUAUCUGAUUAUUCCACCCCUAUUAAUCCAAUUAAUCAAAACAUUGAAGAAGAAAAUUGUCCUCACGUUCCACUGGGUUGACAGCCUAGAUGGUGGUAUUCUGUGUGACGUCAAGUUUAGCCUAAAGCUGCCUCCUUACAUAUUUUAGGGUCAGCCUGAAGACCUCUCCACACUUAGUGACUGUCACCUAACUGGGCGUGCCAACAGACCUAACCCACCCUUGCCCCAAGCAGCCGCAUCUCAGCGGAUCACAGCAGCCAGGCGUCACCAUGCACCGUGGCCCGGUUCAAACUGUGUUUAAAUGAGGCCCACGCCAAGCGGUGCCCGUCUGGCUGUUUCUGUGCCUCCGUCCAGUUUUCUUGGCAUCACUGUCCUUUCUCUGUCCACAAAUCUAACCGGACCACGCGACAGCGACGGAGCCGCCCUGAGCCUAUGCUGGGUCCAGGGCUGCCCCAUUCACCAACAGUCAUUUGCUCAAUGAAGCUCUGUGACAUUCAGUUUGUCUGAAGUUUGUCUUUUAACAUUGGUGAUAGAGUGAGAAGUCUGUGAGGAGAAGGGAUAUGAGAUGUUCCAAAAUAUUAUUACAUCACAAGCAAACGGAUUUCUGAGUAAGAGGAUGGUUGGGGCAGGGUCAGGUGGGCCGCACUGGGUGAGUGUCUGGUGAGGAUGGGGGAAUAGGUGGGGCGGGGGCAGAGAGGAGGAGGCAGGAUGGAGGAGAGGGAGAAAGAGGAAGGGGGAGCCAGCAGCAGGGAGAGGGGAGACAGGAUUGUAUACAGAAAUGGAACAAAGCCACCAGCUUCUGCACUCUCCAGUGUGCCCAGGACCUGCCCGCUCCGAGUGGACCCGACAGCACGGGGGUGGCCUGACGCCGGCUGAGAUGCAGAAUCAGGCCUCUGAGCUACUGAGCUGGAAUCUGCCUUUUGGCCGGACCCGGUUGAUUGGAACCGCGUUCAUUUGAGGAAUGCUCCCUGCGACCAGAGCUCCACCAGGACACUCCUUCCCUCCGCCGGCCACGUUUGCAGGGAGCCCCUGAGAGGCAGCGGCAGCCCGGAUGCUGAAUCCCAUUCGCCCCGGUCAUUUCCGGAGCGUCUUCCAGCCCGUUCCCCGCCAUGACAGCGACGUGUGCUUUGAGCUCAGUCCACAGCAAAGACCACCUUGGUUCUUGUCCCGCCGCAACCACAUCCGAAGAAAGGGGUCAGGUAUUCUAGGCGUACGGGGACUGAUAAAUUCCAAAAAUAUGUUGCCUAGAAAAGAUUGUUAAAAAUAUAAAGGCAAGUUUUAUUCAUUAAUGUUCCCUUGCGCUGUCUGUGAAGAAAGGUAGGUUAAAGAGGUACUUCGAAGCAAAUCUGUACCAGGAAAAUAGAAUUUGUUUUCACAUCUUUUGAAAGAUAAGUGAAAUUCCUUCAGAGUCCACACCCAUGCUUUUAUAAACCUCUGAUACACUAACAAAUCCAAAGAAAAAUUGAAAACAAGCGAGAAAAAGGAGACAGAAAAUGCACAAGAUACACCGCCCUUUUUGUUUGUUUGUGAUUCAGGGCUCAGGAUUGACUGGGUCCUCGGGAGGGGACUCGAGGGCAGAAGGAUCUAUUAAUCUUACAACUAUGUGUUUCAUUUUCCAAGUGGUCAGUUUUUUAGGUUACUUUAUGAAAAACUGAAAUGGAACACAGAAUAUGAACAAUUUCUCAGGGUAAGAGCAGCUAGAUGUAAAAAUAACAUAAUGCAAUUAAAGAAGAAAUCUUCCAGCAAAUAGAACCCCAUUUCGGGGAUUUUCACCGUGGGCGUGAGGGUCACACAAGACUGAAGCCCGCCCAGGAGCAGGCGAGGUCACUGCAGGUGGUCAGUUACAGAGCUCUGCGUCAUAGCCCUCUGGCCCCAGACAAAAUUCACUCAUCUAUACAUUUGCUUGAAAAUGCAUUAUUUGAUAUUCAUUUUGUAUACUUAAAUACAAAAUGAAAUGUAACCUGAUAUUGAAAAUAAAAACUCCAGGCAACGUCUACAUUUCUAUGUAUUUAGUCUUUUCAAGGUCUACAUUUUAAAAGCAAGAAAUGAACAAAGUUAGGAAUACAUUAUUACUCUGGCAGGAAAAUUAGACGGAUUGAUGAAGUGGGUUCUGUCUAUUGUUAUUUAUCCUACUAGAAAUUAAACUAAAAAAACUUAAAAUGUUUUUAUUCUUUAAUUAAAAGCACAAUAGUAAAUCCAUUACAUGCCAACAUAAAUAACGUGUAAUGAAAAAUAAAUGUAAUUUUUGAACCAAACCAUCUUGACUGACAAGAGUGCUAUACUUUCUAUUGCAAAUCCAGUGUCUGACUUCCCGGAAGGCAGCCAGAGUCUGAGGCCACUCCCGCACUCCAUCUGUGUGGGUUUGAAGUGUGCAGUGAAUACUCAGUGUCACUCCCAAAUGUAUUAGGAAAGAGGAGAU
rnacentral:lncRNA from 1 species